rnacentral:rRNA from 1 species
GCUAAUACAUGCGCACAUACCUCUUCCCUCGUGGAAGGGUAGUGUUUAUUAGAUACAGAACCAACCCACCUUCGGGUGGUCCCCAGGUGAUUCAUAGUAACCGAACGGAUCGCAUUAUGACCUUUUGGUCGGCGAUGGAUCAUUCAAGUUUCUGACCUAUCAGCUUUCGACGGUACUGUAUUGGACUACCGUGGCAGUGACGGGUAACGGGGAAUUAGGGUUCGAUUCCGGAGAGGGAGCCUGAGAAACGGCUACCACAUCUAAGGAAGGCAGCAGGCGCGCAAAUUACCCAAUCCUGACUCAGGGAGGUAGUGACAAGAAAUAACAACACUGGAAAUUAUAUUUCUAGUGAUUGGAAUGAUGGGAAUCCAAACCCCUUUCAGAGUAACAAUUGGAGGGCAAGUCUGGUGCCAGCAGCCGCGGUAAUUCCAGCUCCAAUAGCGUAUAUUAAAGUUGUUGCAGUUAAAAAGCUCGUAGUUGGAUAUCUGCUGGAAGCAGCCAGUCCGCCCUUUGUGGGUGUGCACUUGGUGAAUUCUGGCAUCCUCCUGAUUGGUGUCAUCAUCACUUCAUUGUGUUGAUGGCAGCUGUCAGGACCGUUACUUUGAGAAAAUUAGAGUGUUUCAAGCAGGCUUGUUGCCUUGAAUACUGCAGCAUGGAAUAACAAGAUAGGAUUUCGGUUCUAUUUUGUUGGUUUCUAGGACUGAAGUAAUGAUUAAUAGGGACAGUUGGGGGCAUUCGUAUUUAACUGUCAGAGGUGAAAUUCUUAGAUUUGUUAAAGACGAA